UGUGCGGGGGGUGCUAUACAUGCAAGUCGAGCGAACAGAUGAGAAGCUUGCUUCUCUGAUGUUAGCGGCGGACGGGUGAGUAACACGUGGGUAACCUACCUAUAAGACUGGGAUAACUCCGGGAAACCGGGGCUAAUACCGGAUAAUAUUUUGAACCGCAUGGUUCAAUAGUGAAAGACGGUUUCGGCUGUCACUUAUAGAUGGACCCGCGCCGUAUUAGCUAGUUGGUAAGGUAACGGCUUACCAAGGCGACGAUACGUAGCCGACCUGAGAGGGUGAUCGGCCACACUGGAACUGAGACACGGUCCAGACUCCUACGGGAGGCAGCAGUAGGGAAUCUUCCGCAAUGGGCGAAAGCCUGACGGAGCAACGCCGCGUGAGUGAUGAAGGUCUUCGGAUCGUAAAACUCUGUUGUUAGGGAAGAACAAAUUUGUUAGUAACUGAACAAGUCUUGACGGUACCUAACCAGAAAGCCACGGCUAACUACGUGCCAGCAGCCGCGGUAAUACGUAGGUGGCAAGCGUUAUCCGGAAUUAUUGGGCGUAAAGCGCGCGUAGGCGGUUUCUUAAGUCUGAUGUGAAAGCCCACGGCUCAACCGUGGAGGGUCAUUGGAAACUGGGAAACUUGAGUGCAGAAGAGGAGAGUGGAAUUCCAUGUGUAGCGGUGAAAUGCGCAGAGAUAUGGAGGAACACCAGUGGCGAAGGCGGCUCUCUGGUCUGUAACUGACGCUGAUGUGCGAAAGCGUGGGGAUCAAACAGGAUUAGAUACCCUGGUAGUCCACGCCGUAAACGAUGAGUGCUAAGUGUUAGGGGGUUUCCGCCCCUUAGUGCUGCAGCUAACGCAUUAAGCACUCCGCCUGGGGAGUACGACCGCAAGGUUGAAACUCAAAGGAAUUGACGGGGACCCGCACAAGCGGUGGAGCAUGUGGUUAAUUCGAAGCACGCGAAGACCUUACCAAUCUUGACUCCUUUGACCGUCUAGAGAAGAGCUUCCCUUCGGGGACAAGUGACAGGUGGUGAUGUUGCCUCAGUCGGGCCUGGAAUGUGGGUAAUCCGCACGAGGCACCCUUAGUUAUUGCCUCUUAAUUUGGCCUUAAGUGAUGCGGG
rnacentral:rRNA from 1 species